GCGCCCGUAGUUCAACUGAAUAGAGCAUCUGGCUUCGAACCAGAGGGUCGGCGGUUCGAAUCCGUCCGGGCGCA
rnacentral:tRNA from 4 species